rnacentral:rRNA from 1 species
GUAAGGGAUAUUGCGCAAUGGGCGAAAGCCUGACGCAGCAACGCCGCGUGCGGGAUGACGGCCUUCGGGUUGUAAACCGCUUUUCCAGGUGAAGAGGAAGGACGGUAACCUGGGAAGAAGUCUCGGCUAACUACGUGCCAGCAGCCGCGGUAAAACGUAGGAGGCGAGCGUUAUCCGGAUUUACUGGGUGUAAAGCGCGUGCAGGCGGUCGUGUAAGUCGUGUGUGAAAGCGCUCAGGCUCAACCGGGCGAGGACAGGCGAAACUGCAGGACUGGAGGUAGGUAGAGGCGGGUGGAAUUCCGGGUGUAGUGGUGAAAUGCGUAGAGAUCCGGAGGAACACCAGUGGCGAAGGCGACCCGCUGGACCUGACCUGACGCUCAGACGCGAAAGCAUGGGGAGCGAACGGGAUUAGAAACCCUAGUAGUCC